AGAAGGCGCAGAAGCUUGAUGAAAGGUACGCAGGCACGAUGGUGCGCGCGUGCCACUGAACAAGCCGGCUAGUUCGCGAAACGCGAACUUGAAAAAUCAACUUGAUUAAAGUACGACGAAGAUAACGUAUAGUUCUUACAUUGUUUCAGAGAAUGUUUUCAAACGUUACGUACGUAUAUUUGUAGCUGUUUAGUCUUGAAACUACACUGUAUGUCGGUAAAGCUUAUCGAGCGGGUAACGGAAGGCUCAGUUGGUAAAAGCCUGACAAUAAAACGAACUUACUUACCGUAACGUAUUGUAUUUUCCUCGAUAAGCAAAGAUUCAUAUUUGUAUUCAUAUUUGCAUUCUUAUUUGCACGUGAUUAUACGCGAUUCAUACUUGUUCUACUGAAAUUUAUAGGAAUAAUUUCCUUACGUAAGAAAGAAAAUCAAUUUUAUUCUUCUACGAUCUUCAUCAGGAUAAAUCAGGAUAAAUCAGGAUAACACCAGCUAUCUUUCUUUUCCUAUUGUUAUCAUUUAUAAUUCGUAACUAGAACUAUCGAAACGGAGCUCUCUAGUUGUUAGUCCCCCUCAGCCCGUAGUAAGACGCGAAUCCAGGCAGAGGCGUACACCCUGGCCAAAGCUAGGACAUCGAGCAGGUCAUAGCGAAAACCAUAGCCAGGAUCGGAGGGCGCGCAUGCGUCUUUUCGCUACCUGUUUGCAACUUUCUCGCUUCCCCAUCAAUGAUAACAUUAACCCACACAACAACGUCAUCGUCUUGGCAAAGAAAGGGCUUGAAGACAACGUCGAUGUCGUCGAAUAUCAAGGUGACAAUGUUUCUGAUAUUGGCCAUCCCAUCAACGAGAACGAGGACGAUUUUAACGGUAAGACAAAGACAAAGAAGAAAGCAAAGACGAAUGCGAAGAAGCAAAAGGAAAAUAUUGGAGAGAUAUUUACGAGCCCGAUCGCGAUGAAGAGGAGGAGGAGGAAAAGAUGAAAUAGAUGUUGGAAAAAAUAAAAAGUUUAACGGGAAUAAAAGAGGAAAAGAGUUAUCAUUCGUAUCGUAAGAUGGACGUAAUCGCGCUUGAAUCGUAGCUUCUGGAUUUCCUUUGGAUUGCUGCCGCGUUCCUGAGCGAUGGGUGGACGCGCGCGCGCGCGUACUCCGAGCCGCCACCGCGCAUCGCGCAUUACCCUUCUUUCGCUUUCUUCAUGCUUAUAGUGCUUCUAUGCGAGCUGCACGAUUCUCGUUGUCUCCGGCAACAGGUGAUGUGUUUGGCAAGUAGUCGAUCAACGGAAGCAAAGUACGCGAUCGCAAACGAUUCGAUCGAAGGUGGUUCGAUCGAAGGAGGAACGAGGAACGAGAAUCAGCGAACGACCGGCUGGCCGGUAUGUUUGCCAAAUCGAAAAGCAGCGGUUCGGCGCCGAACGUUCUUCUUUCGAAUCCUCUUCAGAAUUUCUACGAAAUUGGCAAGCAAUCGGCUACCGCGGGUCCUGAGAAUGCGUGGCGCGUCUACGACGCGUAUGCGAAAGCGGAUAGAAAGGAAGUUUCGAUAUUUUUCUUCGACAAGAGAUCGGUUGAGAAACUUUAUAAACCAAAGCGAAAGGAGACCGUGACUGAAAUUUUACGUAAUGGAGCUCGACAAAUGGAACGAUUUUCUCAUCCGAAAAUACUCCAGGCGUACAAAGUAGAAGAGUGCGCGGAUAGUUUGGCGUUCGUAUCGGAACCGGUGCUGGCUAGUCUGGCAAACGUUUUAGCGUAUCAGGAACAACGGGCAAACAGUAUCGGUCAAUCGACGAGCAACGUAACGAAGCAAACCUCUUCGGCUGCCAGUCAUCAUCGUACCAUUUUUACCAAAGAAUACGAGUUACUCGAUAUCGAGAUCAAAUACGGUCUGUUACAGAUCACAGAGGCUCUGCUGUUUUUGCAUGUAACCCGCAAAGUUCUUCACAGAAACGUUUGCCCCGCGAGCAUUAUAAUUACCAAAAGGGGUACUUGGAAAUUGUCAGGCUUAGAAUUUAGUGAGAAAGUUAACGAGAUGUCGAUACUGCUACAACCGUGGACCAAUCGUAUGCCGAAAAUGGCGCAACCGAAUCUCGAUUAUAUAGCUCCGGAAAUACAGCAGAAGAAGAUGGGUGGUUUCUACAGCGAUAUGUACAGUUUUGGUAUGACGAUAUGCGCGAUUUUCAAUCAAGGACGACCAUUGAUUCAAGCGAAUCACAGUUGCUCCGAUUAUCUGAAGCAACUAGAAAACCUGAAGGAACAACUGACGGUGAUGUUACCUAUGAUUCCGUUGCCCCUUCAAGAAGCUGUUUCUCGGCUUUUACACGACGAUCCGGAAAAACGACCAACUGCUCAGGUUUUAUCGAUGAUUAAGUACUUUCUGGACCCAGCCGUACACGCGCUGCAAUUUUUGGAUGUAAGCAAGAUAAAAGACGUGUUGCAGAAGGAGCACUUUUAUACGAACACGUUAAAAGGAAUAUUACCCUAUGUACCAAAGAAACUCUGGUAUCAACACAUCUGGACGUAUUUACAAAUUGAAUUGGAAAGUCAAGAGGUUCAAUCGGCUGCACUACAACCGGUACUUUACAUCGUUCAGAACAGUACGCAAGACGAAUACGAUCAAAUCGUAUUCCCCUCGUUACGAUCACUAUUUUCGAGUCGCAAGUCGGUUCAGGGAACGGUUACCUUGUUGGAAAAUUUGCAUCUGAUAUUGAAGAAAACGUCUCGAGAAUACGUGGAGACAGAAGUGCUUCCAAUGCUGUACGCAUCCUUUGAAAAUUCAGUUAUUCAAGUGCAGACGGCCUCUUUCAUAGCCGUGUCAAACGUGACCGAGUACAUCGACGACGAGGCGAUUCGAAGUAUCGUUCUACCGAAAUUGCUUCAGGCCUUUGAGAAAGAUUCGGUGGAUUGCCGGAUACUGAUCAACGUGAUUCCGUGUAUUUUAAAUCGUCUGGAAAAACAAAAGAUCGUUGAUUGUAUUUUACCAUUGUUGUUCAACAUUGAACUUCAAGAACCGGAGAUGAUCGUUCGGGUUGUAAAAAUUUACAGAUUAAUGCUAUCCGAUAAAAAGUAUGGACUUUCGGUGAACUGGAUGGCGACAGGAGCGAUGCCUUCUCUCUUACCUCAGACGAUUAAUCCGUCGCUGAAUCUCGAACAGUUUGAGUUACUUUUCAAAGUUUUGCAAGACAUGUUGAAUCACAUCGAAAGAUAUCAAAGAAAUCAAUUGACGUUGGACAAUUUGUCCCUGUCGAGUCCAGAACGAUAUCGGAGCUUACGACAUCAGCACAGUACGGACAAUAUGCACGUUCCGCCAUUUAAUAUACCAAACUUACGGAUCGAACAACGUAAAACUUCGUCGGCCGAAGAUAUGGCCAGAAAGAACAGUACAAAUUCGAUAUCGAUGACGGCUUCGGCCGAAAACAUGGCGAGGAAAAACUCGUUUGCCGCCGUAUUCGGAUGGUUCUCAUCUUCGAACAACGAUAGCAAUUUCUUGAAAGUGGCAAACACUUUCACCAGUAGACGACUCUCGGACAACACUCUGAUGGCACCGAAGAUACGAGUAGCACCGUCUUGUGCAAGCUCUCCGGGUGACACGCGUGGCGGUGGACUGCCGAUUCGUCGUCAUUCGAGUACUGGUCCUCAGGAGCGACGGGGAUCGAGCAUAAAUCUAUCGCCUCCAACGGGUGCAGGAAUGCCGAUCACGAGCAGCAGCGUCCCAUACUUGGUUAGCUCGAGUAUGAAUAGUAUACGCGGCUCGAGGCGCCCUUCGGUCUCCUCUACGUCCUCCCAGCAGGGCGCCGGAUUACUGCAGCAGGUUGGAUCCAGCAUGUAUCAAUUCUUCAGUAAGUAGUUCGAAGCUUGAGCCGUGAUUGCCUGACGAGGAAGUUUCAGAAGAAGACGCGCUACCGGUGUUAUCCUAACGAGUUACUGGUCUACCCUACGUCGACGCAGAAAAAUUGAAAAAGAAGGUAACAGUUAUUUUGGUCGAUUAUCAGCGAUACUACCAAGUACCUUGCGCAUACACAAACAUAUAUAUAUAUUAUCACGCAGAUAUAUGGAUGAAUACCUAUUAUUCUUAAGAUAGUUAUAAUUUGGAGCCUAAAAUUGAUUAACGGGAACGUUUGAAGGAGAAAGAAAACUGGCCUAACCGUAAUAGAUUGGCCGUUGCGCGCGUACGGUUGGUGAAAAAAUAGAUUUACAAUAACGAUCGGGAUAUGUGCCGUAUGCGUAUCGGUUCGACGUACUUAUGUAUGUGUAAUGUAUCUAUAUGUACCUCCUUUGACCUUUGAUAUAUUUCACCGAUCAUACGUGUGCGCGUGCGCGUUUCGAAAGUAACUCUACAUAUAUUUCCUCUAUUAUUCGUCUUAGACAUAUUCGAUUACGUUGUAAGUUUCUUCUCCUUUUCGUAUCGCUAUAUCGUGGUUUUCCCCUUUUUCCUUUUCAAUGAAAAGAAGAUUAAUCGCGAUAUGAAAUUCACGGUUCCACGAUUUAAUGUCAAUUGUAGUUUUUGUAAACGGCAAAACAAGGAUGUCGAGACGACGACGACGACGACGACGACGACGACGACACCGAAAGUCUCCAAUGAAAUGCACGUAUACAUAUCAAAUUCGCGGAGCGUUCGCGCAAUUAUUUAAAUAGAAUUGAUCCUGCUCGAUGAAUUCGAUAACAGUAAUUAGCUGUAGAAUGUCGAUAAAUCGAGACGCGCAAGUAGCAGGCCCGAGGAAAAAAGACGGGUGGCAAAGAUAGAUAGAAAGUAAAUAUUGGAAAGAAGGGACGGCGAUGAUUCUGGAUGGUAGAAUGUAUAAAAUGCGAUAGAAUCACGUACGCGACACUAGGAAACAAAGUGUCCUUAACGUUCAAAGGCCGGAACUGUCUUUCCGUUCUCCGUGAUUGCGAUCGUUGACGAAUCGCGUGCAACCGAACCGCGGACAAUCAUGGACAAUCGUGGACAAUCAUCGAAAAAGAGCGAGUUACCUACCGCUCGCUUUUCCUCUCUUUUCUCAACCUGUUUGCCAACUAAUUCCGCGUCAUCUCUUACCCUAUAGAGGAGAUGCGCGAAACGACAAUCAUUCCGUCAAAGCGUCGAAAUACGAGUUUAUUUGCGCUUUGAACGAACAAUAACUUUUUUCAUGCGUACCUGCUAACUAACUAACUAACUAACUAACUAACUAAUAGAAACGGUCUAGCUAAACGAGCUUUCAUUUCUUCUUUUCUCUAUUAUCGUUCCUACGGCCAACUUGAUAGCCGGCUAGCUGAUAAUCCAGAUUCUUUAUUCGAGUAUCUGUCUAUGUUUUCAUCGUACACGCGUACGUAGAUGGUCAAUUUUGUUCGAUUAAGAUUACGAUUACGAUUACGAAUAUUUCGUCGCUGUUAACGUUACUAUACGAUGUUCCGUCUGUACUCUUAUACAUGUACACGUACACGUACACGUACACGUACACGUACACGUACACGUACACGUACACGCGUAUAAAUGGAUCAACGACAAAUAAAUGUGCUCAAAAUAGAGGGAAUUAACGGCAUGUUCGGCGAAACAACACACAAAACGAUUAUGUACUCUGUUCGCUGGAUACGAGUAUGUAAGCGACCUACGAUCGACCUUUUUUCCCCCGAUUAACAAUUAGACCGUUCUUCGAUCAUCUCGGUGUAAGUGUAUACAAAUUCAUGUAUUAUUCCUUUUGAAGGAUGUGCAAUAAUAAUAAAAAAAAGCGAUAUAUGUAAAA